rnacentral:rRNA from 1 species
CCCUUAGAUGUUCUGGGCCGCACGCGUGCUACACUGAGUGGAUCAGCGGGUCAGGCUGCGCGAAAGCGUUUCCUAAUCUUUAAAUCCGCUCGUGAUGGGGAUUGACGGUUGCAAUUUUCUGUCAUGAACGAGGAAUACCUUGUAAGCGCGGGUCAUCAUCCCGCGCUGAAUACGUCCCUGCCCUUUGUACGCACCGCCCGUCGCUCCUACCGAUUGAGUGGUCCGGUGAGGCUUUGGGAUCUGAGCGGAAAGAGCGUUUCGCUGUUUCUGCUCGGAAAACUCAGUCGAACCUUAUCAUUUAGAGGAAGGAGAAGUCGUAACA